GAGGGGAGAGGAGCAAAUGGUUAUUCUCAGGCGCUCCCUCUACUACAAACUUGGAGCAGAGGCCUUUGAGCUAAUUAAUUACAUUCUGUAUAUCUGAGCCAGCUAGCAGAGCUCCUCGCUGACACUCGGAUACAUCUGGGCCUGAUAACAAUUGCAAAUACUCAGGGCACACUUUAGGGGGAAAAAAAAAAAAGGCUUAUGUUACAAUGUGCAACAGCACGUUGUACAGUCCUCGGAUCGGUCAGAUAAAUAAAACAGCUCGAGUCCAGGGCUUGGUGGGGGGAAACGUACUUGGUAACAUUUCACCUAGAGCAGAAAAAUUUCCCCACUGACAAGGGACCAGUUUGACCCGAAGACAAUGUUCAGUUCCUCCGAGGGACAGUUUUGGAGAUUUGGGUCCGACGUGGGAACGUAGAAGAGAAUUUACAAGAAGCUCCUUCUGCGCACCCAUCCGAGGAGAGGGUGUAGACAUGAAGAGACUGAGUGUUCCUCGGCCGCGUUCGGGGAAGCAAAUAAACACGGAUUUUCUUGAGGAAAACGAAUGGGCCCCAGAGACCACGUUUCAUGCCUUACUGAACCCCCGACUCACUCGCUUCGAAGGCCAUCUGUCCUUGAGACAAAAAGACCACUUUUUUGGUAAAUGCCGUUGUUGGUGUGCGAAUCCUGGAAGGAGCCAAGAUUUGGGAAAAUUGUCUCUGUCACCUUCUAAACUACUCUUCAUAUCAAGUAACACCCAACUCAUGGGAUUGGGACACGUUUUGUGCUCGAAUGACCGACAUCAUAAUAACGGACGACGGCGAUUCUUAGCCCUCCGUCCACCUCUUCACGUAGCGUCCGUACUUUCUAAGCCUUAUUUUGAAGGAGGUUUAAUUUCUGCAGAACAGUACCAAGCAGAGAGAACUGUGGAUCUUCACUCACAAGAAAGUCAAAUAACAACCAAACUGCUUUACUGAGACCUAUCCUGUUUGAGGCACUGUUAUGUUUAGUAUUAAGAAGGUCUAAGUUUUCUCAUCUUUAAAUGGGAAAUAUGAAACUCAAAGAAGUUAACAGCCACAUGCCCAAAGUCAAUCAGUCAGUAGGCCAAAAAUACUGAUUGAGAGCUGAGAAUUUGCCCCAAAUAUUUUCACUAAAAAUGCGUGAUCGAGUAACACAAAGACAAAUAAUUUGACUAUGCUACAUGAUUGGCUAUUUUAACUGCUAAGCAGAUACAUUGUGCCUUAUGAACACAGCCAUUCAUUGCAAGGGGCGCCUGGAUGGCUCAGUCGGUUGAGCAUCUGAUUCGGCUCAGGUCAUGAUCUCGCCAUUGGUGAGUUCGAGCCCCACGUCAGGCUCUGUGCUGACAGCUCGGAGCCUGGAGCCUGCUUCGGAUUCCGUAUCUCCCUCUCUCUCUGCCCCUAUCCUGCUCAUGCUCUGUCUCUCUCUGUCUCUCAAAAAUGAAUAAAGUUUAAAAAAUUAAAAAAAAACAUUUUCUUUUAAAUAACUUAUGAAAUCAAAUAACAAACAGUGGACUAUGAAUACAUAGGUAAAAAUAUUUAUUUCAGCAACUCUGAUGUUCAGUGUUGCUACAUGAUUAGGUGAUUUUGAAAGGAAGGAUAUAUUUUCAGGUAAGUUUAUAAUUGGUUGCUCUGGCUAGGUUCCAAGCUUACUUGAUGAUGUGAUCUUUUUGUUUGUUUGUUUGUUUGUUUGUUUCUUAGACAAAAUCAAGUUCAAAUGUUGCCUACCUUGCUCACGUAGACUUUCGCUCUUCCGAAUGAUUUUAAGUGUACACCUUUGAGGAAGGAAGGCUAACACAUUUACUUAACCUCAUCCUUGAAUGCCUAGAAGGAUAAAAAUGUUACGAUUGACCAAUGGCCACAAAUAUUACUCGUUCAGUCUCGCAACCAUGUAGGACGGUGGUGGUGCGGUAGAGAAAGGAAAGCCAUGGUCAAAAUUGUAGCCUCCUCGGAGCCAUGUUCAAACUCAAAAUCCUUUAAAGUUGUACUUGCUACAUCCCAUCUCUCUUGAAUUAUCAAUGGUAAUUUACUGGUCUUUCAACAUCAUAGACUCAUGUUGUGAGCUUUUGAAAGCCAUUAUUAUAUGCUCAGUGUUUAGGGGGAAAUGAAAUCUUGCCUUAGUGAUUGUACCACAGAGGGCAAUUGCAAAGACAUGCAGCCUGACAAAGCACACGUCCUGUGGAUCUAGUAUCUUAUUCCUUUGCAGUUGGGACCCCAGAUUCUAGAAUAUUCCCUUGUGUUGUCCCUGGGGAAUUUUCAUUUCCCACUGGCUAUUUCAUGCCAUCCUGAGCAUUUAGCAGAACACCAAACCCAGACUGUCAGACUGGGGAUGUCUUCCUAUCACUGAACAAAACUAUUUGGGAUUUGUUUGGGCUUAGGACAGAAAUGGGCAGCUGGGAGGCAUUUUGGUCAAGGAGAAAAAUGACACGUUUCUGAAGUGGGAUGAUAGAUUGGGAAGCCCACAGAUCUUUGUUUCAUUUUUCCUUUCUGGGAAGGAAAAAAAAAAAAAAGGAAGAAAGAAAUACCAAUCAAUUGUCCCAACGAACUAAAAAUGAAGCCUAUGGGCUGUUUCCCCACCCUGAAUUUACGGAGGCAUAAUAAUUCUAGUUAACUAUACACAUACUCUUAAAAAUCCAGGUUCUCUGUUCAAAAAGCUUGUAGGGGUUGAACAUAAAAAACUUUCUGAUAUACAAGUACCAAAUACACGGCAGUGAUAAAAUUCUUGCACUGGGUUAACUACACAUUUUGCUAAUAAUGUUGGAUGACACAAUCCAUGAACAUCACCGGCAGGCUGGAUUUUGGCACGAGCACAAAGGUUUUAUUAAACACGUGCUGCCAGUGAAACAUGGCUUGCUUACUCAUGACCAGGCAGCCGUGUUUUAUAUAUAUUUAUGUGUAUAUACAUACGGAUAUACACAUACACACACAGUCCAGAUCGCUCCCUUGAUUUCCCACAGUCCUUCUGAUAACUAUCUUACAGAUCAGGAAAACUAUCUCUCUUCUCAGCCAGAUUUUGUGUGGGUUCCUCUGUGUGUCAAAUGGAAACAACCACAAAAUUUAACCUUCCUUUACCCUGCUAAAAAUACGUGUUCACAGAAGUUGUCAGGUUCUCUGAAUGCCUGAUAACCCUGCCCAUUGAUGGGUUGCAGAGGUGACCGCAUGUGAAACUGCAGUGUGACACAAGUGUGAAUAGUGACUUCAAGGAGCAGGAGAAGAAAUGCAUCUUGAACUUUCCUGAGUGAUCGUCCCUCAGAAAAAAAAAACGAUGGGGGAUGGCUGGUGCAUCUCUGAGCCUUCACAAGGAGCAUGUAAGAUGAUCUUCUGUUGGACUAAAAUUAUUUUUUCGAUUUUCAGCUCUUCCUUUAAAAAUGUAUACAUUUCGGGGCGCCUGGGUGGCUCAGUCGGUUGGGCGUCCGACUUUGGCUCAGGUCAUGAUCUCGUGGUCCGUGAGUUCGAGUCCUGCGUCGGGCUCUGGGCUGACAGCUCAGAGCCUGGAGCCUGCUUCUGAUUCUGUGUCUCCCUCUCUCUCUGACCCUCCCCUGCUCAUGCUGUGUCUCUCUGUCUCAAAGAUAAGUAAAUGUUAAAAAAAAUGUAUACAUUUAGGUAAGGUUUCAUAUACAUGUAGAUACACAUUAAUAUCUACGUACAUAAUAUACAGACAAAUACAUAGUGUGGGUAAUGUUUUUAAAAAGUUUACGGAUGGGGGGAUCUCAUUAAGAAAUCUUUAGAUAAUAUCACCUAUGAAUUUUAGACUGUUUUAUUUGCCUACUUCAAUUCGUACGUGUUGCAUAUUUCUAAAUGUCAGGAAAGUAUGUCUCUUAAUUUGUAGCUGACUCUUUUCAAUGAGAAGUUCUUCUCCCCACGUCAAGCGAAGAAACAGCAUUAUGACUGGGAAAAGCUAGGGGCCUCAGAUCGCCUUUUCUUAGAAGAAUCACUGCUCACACCUGCUGCAGUGAGGAUCCAUUUUUUCAAAGACAGAACUGAUGGAACAGAGCAUGGCAGUGAGCAGUAGGCUCGUCCUGAUAGGCAUGCCAACUGUCUGCUGUAGGGAAACCCAACAACAGUCAACAUGUGGAUGCCCAAGAAGAUGAGUGAAGCUGGUCAUCUCCAGGGUCUGGAGCUCAGCUCCUGAAGACAAGGAGAAAAACAUGGGGCUUGGGCGGCAGAUCCUGGGGAACCACCAAGGCAACGGGACUUCUUUGAAGGUAAAGCUAGAAAUCCAGUGCCUGUGUUGGAAGGAAUGAGGCUCCAGAAUAGUGAGGCCGGGGCUCUGGUCAAAAAUGGAAACCCCAGGGCCCCUAGGUGGCUCAGUCGGCUAAGCUUCCAGCUCUUGAUUUCCGCUCAGGUCAUGAUCUCACGGCUCCUGAGAUGGAGCCCUGGAUUGGGCUCUGUGCUGACAGCGUGGAACUUGCUUGGGAUUCUCUCUGUCUCCUUUCCCUCUGCCCCUCCCCCAUUUGUGCUCUCCCUUUCUCAAAGUAAAUAAGUAAAGUGGGAAAAAAAAAAAAGGAAACCCAGGGGUGCCUGGGUGGCUCAGCUGGUUAAGCGUGGAACUUCAGCUCAGAUCAUGAUCUCACAGUUGGUGGGUUCGAGCACCGCUUAGGGCUCUGUGCCAACGGCUCAGAGCCUGGAGCCUGCUUCAAAUUCUGUGUCUGCCCCUCCCCCAUUCUCCCUGUCUCUCAAAAGUAAACAUUAAAGGAAAAAAAUUAAAGAAAAAAAAGGAAACCCAGCUGAAAAUGGGACACAGGCAAAACGUUAGCGUUCUUACCUUAUCCUUCAUUUUUACAUGUUGACGUAUGUUGAGAGAUUCCUUGCUCCAGGAACCAAGCUAGGUAUGGAUACAGUGGGGAACAAAAGUGAACACGAUCACUCUUAUAUCAGAGUUUACCUCUUAGAGGGAAGUCAAGAAUAAUAAAAUCUCUAUGUUGAUAAACAGAAAAAAAAAAAGUGAUCUAAUUCCAUACAAUAAAGGGAACUGGCCCAUAACUUUUGUUGGAAAAUGGAUGCUGAGGGGUUACCUUACGGUACCAUUUACUAUGACGGGCUUUUAAAAUAA